AACUUUCAGCAACGGAUCUCUUGGCUCUCGCAUCGAUAAAGAACGCAGCGAAAUGCGAUAGGUAAUGUGAAUUGCAGAAUUCAGUGAAUCAUCAAAUCUUUGAACGCACCUUGCGCCCUUUGGCCAUUCCGAAGGGCAUGCCUGUUUGAGUAUC
rnacentral:rRNA from 1 species